rnacentral:misc_RNA from 1 species
UAUCUUGAUAUUCCUAAUUUCUAUGGGUUUUACCAAUAUAGAAGAAUUUUUAGAUUGGAUUGUGAAUGUGGAUAGAUUCUUUGACUAUGUGGAUAUAGCACCCGAAAAACAAGUUCAAUUGGUGACUUGUCGACUGAAAGGUGAUGCUUCUGCUUGGUAGCAAUGACUACAAUCUAGAAAGAAGUGAGAAGGUAAAGGACCAGUUCGUACAUGGUGUAUUAUGAAAUAUUUG